AAGGGGCCGCCGAUGAUGAGUUCAGCCAGGACCUCGCUUCUACGCAGCCAGGAGCUGUGCUCCGUGAGCCCCCAAGCUGAUUUCGAGCUGAGCUCUGCUCCGUUCAGCAACGGUCUCUUUAGCAGAGAGCUGAGCAGCACCGCGACUAGCGUGAGAGAGACGGUCUGCUACGUCGCGCCCAAGCACGGGGGAUGCGGGCGGCUAACGGAGAAGACCGAUAUAUACAGUUCCGGGGUUCUCAUUCUCGUGAUUGUCUCAGGGAGGAGACCGCUGCAUGUUCUGUCUUCUCCUAUGAAACUUCUCCUCCUCCGCUCCUCUCGCCAACUCUCAGGGUUUGCAGACUGCUGCAGGCGAGGUUAAGGGCAAAUCAGACGCUUUCGAGUUGAUUCAGGCACAUCAGGCGGCAGCAGCUCGACUUUCACUGGUUGAUGAGGUCCGAACUUUGCUUAAUCAGAGUGUUCGAGGAGUGCUCUCCACGUUUUCUCAGAAUCUGCUGGGUAAUCCAAGAUGCUCUUUACUUGUUGCAAGGGAUCCCGAAAAUAGAACUGAUACUCAUUGCUUAUGCAUAUACUCUUGCUGAUGUAGGUUUUCGAUAGUGACAGAGAGGGCAUACGUACUGCAUACUUGGAAAAUGUACAAUCUAGGGUUUCUUCUCUUGCUACCUGUUGCGGGACGAGGACAUUAUGAGCAGCUUCAAAGAGCUUUUCUCAAGGGAAACAAAAAUAUGUCUUGCUACUUCCUAUCUGUUUGAUUUGUGAUUCUUGAAUAAAAUAUUUGAUGAAUCUGAUGAGGCGUAUGCAUAAAUGCUAUACAGGUCAAGUGGUUCUUUCUGUACUUCAAUGUGAUUUGCUGUAAUUUUGACACCUUCAUGAUGAUUAAGGUUCUCAUUAGAUUAAAUUAUUGAGAUGUUGCACCUCCACUAAGCUUCUUUUUUUCCAGGUUGUCAUUCAAGUUGCUUGGCAACUUAUUUUAUUCUGGUCUACCUCGGCCUCUACAUCUGAGAUCAUCAACUCCGAUACAUUUAUGUGUUUUAGUUUGUACAUAUAUUGAUGCAUUGCUUGUGUCCUUAUGUUACACUCAGGAUGACGAGGAAGAAGGAGAAGGAGAAGAAGAGGGCUUGAGUAAAUGUAUAGGGAAGGAGUUGAAGAAGCUUCUGCAGUGUCAUAGCCAUCGUAAAUAAUUUAUGUAAAAGUUUGUAAACAAUUUAUGUAUCUUUCUACUAUUUUGGUGAAUGUAUUAUUUGAAUAUAAUUAGACUUGAUAUUAGAAUAUAAUUUGAUUGUGUUGGAUAUGAAUA